GCAGAAUGAUCUCAAAUGAAAAGCAAGCCCCACAUUUCUUUCUGAGUGCUCAACAUAAAACUAAAUACACAGCUUGAAGGCACUGGCUAAUAGGCUUGCUUUCUUCUGCUGAAUUGCACGGUGCAUCCUGCAUUUGCAUCUGGUGAAGCUGCAGGAACAAGGCGCAGAAAUGCAUGUGUCAGUGUCAGCAUCUACGCAGCGGUCACUGUUGUGAGGUGAAGCUGUUAAUGUGCCAUGAGCCUGAUAACCUCUGUCUGGAGACCAUCAUAUCUGAGUCCAGUCAGAGAAAAUGCAGAAGCUCUGCUGUGUCUCUUCCUUUGAUGGAAAAAAUGAAGAAAGGAUGCUACCUGCUAUCAAGGCACUCGAUGAAGCAUUGACACCAUAUUACUGUCAGGCAGUUUAACCCUGCUGAUAACUAUUGAUGCUGUGCUGGAGGCUAGGGUACUUGCCUGGAGUUCCUGCAGAAUCCUACCAGCCCCCAAACUGAUCUUCAAACCUUACUUCCUACACCUCGGAGCUCGUGUCCAUCUGAGAGAGCACCAGAGGAUACUGGUGAAGGCUCUUAGAUUUGAGGAAUUCAAGGAAAGAAACCUACUCAGGAUGGGGCUAAGAAGCUCCAGGAGGAAGCCAGGUGGACAGACUGUUUCCACAGACAACCUUCUGGAAUUCUGGCUUUUGCAAUCUUUCUGCAUGUUCCCAGAACUAGGAAAUUCAAGAUUUAUUUAAAACCCGCCCCUGUUAUGCAACUGAGGAGUAAAGACUAUGUUACAGAAAAGAUCAUUAGAAAGAGGCCACCAUUCAUUCCUCACAACAGUCCUCAGGAAGCUAGGAGUGAAGUAAAGUUGACAAAGCUGCACCUAGGAAACCACCUCCUGAGAGCAUCCUGCCCCAGGAAGGUUCUUGGGCUUUCCCUCAGCAGAAGGAGAGAAGCUGGUGUACUGGGGUACCACUCAGCAUUGCUCUGAAGACUUUAGAGCUUUCCACAAAGGAAGAAUAGGAGAUACACUGUGAUUAUGGAGGACCCACCAUCCUCAGCAUCAGUGAGUGUCCUGCAUUUCCAGGAAAGAAAACUCCUGAGCUGCACCGGGAAACUGAGCAAUAAACCAAUAAGCCAAUGAAAACAUGUACAUAAAAGCCACAUUGUAGCUCUGGAGUAAACAAAAGCAGCCACGAUUUAACAUAGAAACACCAUUUUAUAAAUAACGUCUCCCUUGAAAGACAGUAGAGCAAUACAAAAGGCAUAAACUCCUGCAAGAUGGAAACUAUAAACUACUGGUGAAGUUUUGAAAAUCCAGAUAAAUGAUAGAUAUCUGGACCACAUUUUUAGACCCAAACUCUAGAGAUGUGAACUCUCCCUGUGCUGCUGUGUAGAUUUUUACUCACUGUCAGAGAUUUCUAUCACCACGUGGAUCGCCCAAAGAUCCAGAAGUAUAGAAUACACCUUUUCUUUACAAAAACAAAGCAAGCUGGGUGUGGUCAUGCAUGCCUUUAAUCUCAGCACCCAGGAGCCAGAAGCAGGAAGAUCUCAGAGAGUUACAGGUCAGCCAGGGCUAUGUAGUGAGACCCUGGCUCAAAACCCAAAAGAACAGCAUGGCCAGAGUAAAACUAGACUACCUUAAGAUACGCUGCAAGGCUACAACAGUCAAGACAGAACCAUACUGGUGUAAAGUUGUGUUUACAAAUCAGGGGAACAGAAUGAAGUCCAGAACUAGGCUAUGUGUGUGGAUGCUCUAAUGCCAACCCAGAGGUGCCUCAGCAGAGAUUGGGUUGUGUGGUCUCAAACACUGGGAGACAGUAUUGUGUGAAAAAGAAAAUAAGUUAUGUCAUGGUUCGCAUCACACCAAAGCCUGACGUGGAGUGAAUCUUAAGUUUAUUAGUAAUUCAUGCCAGUCCCUGGUCCCCCAUCACUCAUCUUGUCCCACUUUCUGCCUGCUGUCCAAGCCAAUACUAACAAUCUUGGCUAUACUACACCUUAAAUGGAGGGGAAUUUUUCUUAGCUAUGACAUCAGCAGAUUAACUCACAAGGACUGGACUUCAUAAAAAUCAAUCCAUCUUGUCUUGAAAUGCACCCAGAAAAAGAAAGUCAUGACACAGACUGGGAGAAUCUAUUCCUCAGUCUCACAUCAAGUACAGUCCUCAUGCCUUAAAAGUAACAGACCUUACAAGUUCGACAACAAAAUCAUCCAAAUAUUAACAAGAAAAUCACUUAUAUUUUAAAUCAAGAAUUCAACAAGUAUAAAGGACUAUUUUCUCGCUUUCUUCACCUGCUGUUAUAGUUGGUAUCAGAAGUCAGAGACUGUACUCUUAAUGCUUGAGAAGUUGGAGAUCCAUUUGCUAAAAAUUCUCUCUUAAAUCUUGUAAAAAUGUCAGAAAGCAAAGCAGACAGUGCGUGCCUCUGCCCUGCGACGCACUGAUACUUUUCCGUAUUUAAGAACGGAAGACAUGAUCCAAACAAAAUACAACUGAAUUCCUGAGGGCAACAUUUGAGUACUGUAUACUCAGUCUCCU
rnacentral:sRNA from 1 species